rnacentral:rRNA from 1 species
GGUUGCGAUCAUACCAGCACUAAUGCACCGGAUCCCAUCAGAACUCCGCAGUUAAGCGUGCUGGGCGAGAGUAGUACUAGGAUGGGUGACCCCCUGGGAAGUCCUCGUGUUGCAACCC